rnacentral:lncRNA from 1 species
AAGAUGAAGUUUGCGGAGAAUGGAAGUAACACCAGUAAGUGGGUGUACUUCAAAAAGAUGGACAUGUUGCUAACGUCAACUCCACUACAAGCGGGCAUUUCAUGUGGAGUGGACUCCGGUGAGUAUGUUUUCAUGAGCCCCAAAGUUUAUUGAUGCCAUCAUGCUUAUAGUUAUAGCAAGAUAAUACUAACGUCAACUCCUCAACAAGCGGGCAUUUCAUGUGGAGUGGACUCCGGUGAGUAUGUUUUCAUGAGCCCCAAAGUUUAUUUGAAUCGUGCCAAUGGUUUGGAUGAGAUGAGGGACAGUCCUGCUAACUCAGGAUCUGCUGAUGGUGACGAUGAUGAUUCUGAGGAUCUUCCACCAAAAAGAUCAAGAAAUGGACCAUCAGGAGGUAGUGGAGCUUCUUUCAAACUAAUAGCAGAUUCUAUUCAUAAAUUUAGUGAGAUAUAUGUGAAGAUUGAGAAUAGCAAGAGACAGCAAAUGCUAGAACUGGAGAAAAUGAGGAUGGACUUUCACAGAGACUUGGAAAUGCAAAAGAGGCAGAUUGUGGAGCGAGCACACGCAGAAAUUGCAAGAAUAUGCCGAGGAAGUGAUGAAGAGAAUGACAUUUCUGCUGAAAAUGUUAGUGGAUGAUUUAGCCGGACUAUCUCUAUUAAUCGCUUGUUGACUAUUUUCUGUUGUUGUAUUAUAUCUUGCAUUAUAUCUUGCUGUUGUUGUUGUUGUUGUAUUAUAUCUUGCAUGUUAUUCUGACUGUCCUGCAGAAUAUGCAAGACAAUAAGCUUAAUGUAAUGUAAGAACGUAUUUGGAUGUAGUUCAGCAGCUAUAAUAACAUUUUAUAGAUCACAACUUCCGU